rnacentral:rRNA from 1 species
AGAGUUUGAUCCUGGCUCAGGAUAAACGCUAGCGGCAGGCUUAACACAUGCAAGUCGAGGGGCAGCGAGGAGUAGCAAUACUCUGUCGGCGACCGGCGCAAGGGUGCGUAACGCGUGAGCAACUUGCCCUGGACAGGGGGAUAAGCAUUGGAAACGAUGUCUAAUACCCCAUAACAACAGACCUUACAUGGGGUUUGUUUGAAAGGUAUUUAUACCGGUUUAGGAUGGGCUCGCGUAACAUUAGUUAGUUGGUAGGGUAACGGCCUACCAAGACUACGAUGUUUAGGGGAACUGAGAGGUUGGUCCCCCACACUGGAACUGAGACACGGUCCAGACUCCUACGGGAGGCAGCAGUGAGGAAUAUUGGUCAAUGGCCGGAAGGCUGAACCAGCCAUGCCGCGUGAAGGAAUGAGGCCCUAUGGGUCGUAAACUUCUUUUGUAAGGGAGCAAUAAGGGUUAUGUAUAGCCCGAUGAGAGUACCUUAUGAAUAAGCAUCGGCUAACUCCGUGCCAGCAGCCGCGGUAAUACGGAGGAUGCGAGCGUUAUCCGGAUUUAUUGGGUUUAAAGGGUGCGUAGGCGGAGAAGUAAGUCAGCGGUGAAAUGUCGAGGCUCAACCUCGGAACUGCCGUUGAUACUGCCUUUCUAGAAUGCGGAUGCCGUGGGAGGAAUGUGUGGUGUAGCGGUGAAAUGCAUAGAGAUCACACAGAACACCGAUUGCGAAGGCAUCUCACGAAUCCGCAAUUGACGCUGAGGCACGAAAGCGCGGGGAUCGAACAGGAUUAGAUACCCUGGUAGUCCGCGCAGUAAACGAUGAUGACUAGCCGUCGGCGAUACAAUGUCGGUGGUCAAGCGAAAGCGAUAAGUCAUCCACCUGGGGAGUACGACCGCAAGGUUGAAACUCAAAGGAAUUGACGGGGGCCCGCACAAGCGGAGGAACAUGUGGUUUAAUUCGAUGAUACGCGAGGAACCUUACCCGGGCUCGAACGGCAGAUGAAAGUCUCAGAGAUGAGCUGUCCUUCGUGACAUCUGUCGAGGUGCUGCAUGGUUGUCGUCAGCUCGUGCCGUGAGGUGUUGGCUUAAGUGCCAUAACGAGCGCAACCCUUGCCGCCAGUUGCCAUCACGUAGUGGUGGGCACUCUGGUGGGACUGCCACCGCAAGGUGUGAGGAAGGGGGGGAUGACGUCAAAUCAGCACGGCCCUUACGUCCGGGGCGACACACGUGUUACAAUGGCGGCUACAGAGGGUUGCUACGCGGCGACGCGGUGCUAAUCUCAAAAAGCCGUCUCAGUUCGGACUGGAGUCUGCAACUCGACUCCACGAAGCUGGAUUCGCUAGUAAUCGCGCAUCAGCCAUGUCGCGGUGAAUACGUUCCCGGGCCUUGCACUAACCGCCCGUCA